GUGGGUAUAGCUCAGUGGUAGAGCACAUGUUUAGCAUGCACAGUGUCUUGGGUUUGAUCUCUAGUACCUCCA
rnacentral:tRNA from 1 species